rnacentral:misc_RNA from 1 species
GAUGAAGAACGCAGCGAAAUGCGAUAAGUAAUGUGAAUUGCAGAAUUCAGUGAAUCAUCGAAUCUUUGAACGCACAUUGCGCCCGCCAGUAUUCUGGCGGGCAUGCCUGUUCGAGCGUCAUUUCAACCAUCAAGCCCCCGGCUUGUGUUGGGGACCUGCGGCUGCCGCAGGCCCUAAAAACCAGUGGCGGGCUCGCUAGUCACUCCGAGCGUAGUAAUACAUCUCGCUCAGGGCGUGCUGCGGGUUCCGGCCGUUAAAAAGCCUUAUUUACCCAAGGUUGACCUCGGAUCAGGUAGGAAGACCCGCUGAACUUAAGCAUAUCAAUAAGCGGAGGA